UCUCUUCAUUCCAAUAGGAAAGAUUUAUGACAUAUAAUUACUAUGGCAGAGCUAGAACAACCUCCGACUUGGAGGGAGGGAUAUGCGGAGCAGAGAAAUUAAGGGUGAUGAAGAACCAAAUCAGCCAAUUACAGUGAUGAAUAGUCAUAGAAAGAAGCGCGGUUGACGAUCAGACUAAGUCGAUGCAGUACUUUCAGAGAGGAAACUAGGUAUGCCUAUCAUGAGGUGUUGAACACUCACUAAAGACUAUAGAAUGCUGUCCACUUUAGCACGGCAACAUCGCCGCCGUAUCCCUACUCUUCUCUGCUCCGAGUCUCUCUCCAAGUCGGCAGUAGUUUUCGACUAUGGUUCCCAUUUUUAUUUCCUUUGAGACACUAGUUCAAAGUAAUUCUAUGUUAUAAAAAUAAUUUCUUACAAAUAACUAUUUUUUAUUAACAGGCAUGGAUUUUCCAAUAAUCCCGCUAGACCCAUGAUCCAUGCCUAUCAAAGGGCGUAAGCUCUAAAUGGGCUCUCGCCCAGAAAAGAAGACAUUAGAAAAAUGUUCACCAAAAAUGAAUAGCAAUAAAGGUGUGUUUUCGUAACGGGCAGACGACAGAAUUCACUUUAAAUUAACAUUGGUUCUUAUGGGAGUAUUCACCCAUCGGCAGAAAGUUGAGCAGAAAAAAAGAACUGUUCAAAUCAGAGACGAACUGUCGUUCAUCUUGCCGUUCUUUAUAAGGCCUAUCAACACAAUGCUAUUUUGCUUCGACCGAUCACUGCUCGUGAACCGUUUUGUCGAAAAAGAACUAAUUUCGGGAUUCUGUCGACGAGAACAGACAAGUUUCAAGUUCAAGUUAAUUCAUUCAUCUCUUGUACAACAUAGAAAAUCAAAUUGACAAUGUACAUACAAAAAUUAUUACAAGAAAUAGAAUGUGGAGCUCACAAGACUUACGUCCGUUCGUAGACAGCUGCGAAUCACUUUUCUGCUCUGAUCACGUGACACCGGCAGCAUAAUCUUUCUGUGGAUCAGACGCCAUGUUCUUUUUAACCUCAAUCUUUAAUUGUUGGAUGGUUUGUUUUGAUAUUGGUUGUCAGAUUUCGGAUUGCUACUAUUAUACUGUGAAAUUAAUUUGCAGUGGAAAAUUGAGGUAUAAAAUAUUUCUAUUGGUUUCUUUAUUCUUAUAAUUUUUACAAGAGAAAUUGAAAAUGGAUUUACAACAGAAAGGCGUGAAAUUUUCGAAGUUCAAAGUUUUGUACUUUCCAGACCUGCACAACGAAUUACCUAUUUGAAAAAUAGAAUAUGGUUAGAAAUUGCUGAUGUAAUAGAGGAUUCAAGUACCAUUUACAAACAAAAUAUUGAAGAGAAUGUGCUCAAAGGAAAUGCAUAUGAAUUCUUUUUUGUUGACCAGGAUGGAACAAUUCUUUGGAACCUAUACUUAGAAUAAGUUAGUUAGGCCUAGUGAUGUACCAGCCAGAAGUAGAGGAUGACAAAGAAAAUCAACUAUGAAUAAUAUUCCAUGGAUAUGAUUCAUGUAUGAUGUAGUAGCCUA